UACGAAGGGGGCGAGCGUUGUUCGGAUUUACUGGGCGUAAAGCGCGCGCAGGCGGCCCGCGAGGUGUCACGUGAAAGCCCCGGGCUCAACCCGGGAGGGUCGUGGCAAACCGGCGGGCUUGAGGCCGGUAGAGGUGGGUGGAACUCCUGGUGGAGUGGUGAAAUGCGUAGAGAUCAGGAAGAACACCCGUGGCGAAGGCGGCCCACUGGGCCGGUACUGACGCUGAGGCGCGAAGGCGUGGGGAGCGAACGGG
rnacentral:rRNA from 1 species